UUAGCAGACAAGACCACUAGAAACUGAAAAUUCCUUCUAGCAAUUCUCAGUCUCACUUUUUUUUUUUUUUUUAAUAAAAUUUUACUGAAAAUUAAUCAGUUAAAGCAGGGUACUCAUCUUACUGGCCCUACCAGAACUCCUGAGGCAGGUUUUGCUGAUCUCUCUUUCGAUUGUUCAUCCUUUAUAGAACAACACUAGGAGCCUCGAGGAUAUGUUUGACUAGCAACCACAACCAAGCAUUCACUAUGUGAGAAGGGGGAAGGAAAAAAAAGACCUGGGUCAGCAGUACAAACGGGGAAAUGACACUGCCAUGGUGGUGAGACUGAGGAUUUCUGCUUCGCUGGGAUGUGGGAGUAUCAGCACCUCCUACGUAACGCUCGGCAGCAUGCAGAAGUAGACUAGUCUGGUCACUUAUGGAGGCCCAUUUAAAACCAGUAGGAUUACUCAGGACAAGUAGAAGCUGAAGUGCGUCCAUCCCAGAACAACUGUGAAUUAAGUCUCUACAAUCAAUGACAAUUCUGGCAUUGGAAACUGGGGCAGAAGCUACUUUUUCCAAGUGAUCGAGUUACCACAGUGUAAAGAUUUUCCAAGGCAGUUGCAACAGCCUGAGAGCAUCCCCACAGGAAGUUACGGCUCAGUUGGCACAUGGUAAACCAUGAAGCUGUGGCAGCAGGACCUGGUGCAUGCAGGGGACCCACAAGACCAUCCCUUCUUGCUUAUCUUGACUGCUGGCAGAGAGCUGUUAACCACAGGUUAAAAGGAGGGCAUUGGUAUAAGGCUGACCUUUGUACAGAGUAAGACUGUUACUUUUUAAUAAUGCCCUUUUGGAUAAAGCUUAAUUUUUCAGACAGUACUUUUA
rnacentral:lncRNA from 1 species